CACAGGAAGGACCCAUCAGAGGGUGACGAGGAGCAGGCUGCCGUCAGUAAGUGGAUGGCCCCUGACUGGAAGAUGGUGCAGUUUCUGUGGACCCACCACUGUCCUCUGUGCAACCAUUCUGGCCUGGUUUCCUCAUCUGUAGGAUGGGAGAGUUCUGUCUUCCUCAUGUAGUUGUGGCGAGUCUAAUUAUUCAGUGCAUGGAAUAGUUAUUGCUGAGACCUUGGUUGUGCCGAGUCAGCCCAGUGUCCCCUGCCCGGCACUUACAGUUCGCUUCUUUGGCGGAGCAUGUUUCGCCCUGGCACCGGCUGCGGUCUCUUCCCCACCAGGGAGGAAGUAGUAGCUCCUGCUAGAGGACACUGCCCCUGGCACCACCGGGCCAAGAAGGGAACAUGUCCUCUGGGAAGGGCUCCGUGUCUGCUCAUCCCUGGCAAUUCUAAAUUUCAAAAAGCCAGAGAUUAUUUUUCAAAAAUUAAUUUAUUUCACUAUGAUCAUAAUCACAAAUUUGAACAAAGCAGAGAAAGGAAACAAGCCCGAACCCCACCUACUUCUUCAAACCCAGAGGUAACAUGGCUGUCCUUGGGGACGCUCUGUCCCCAGGCCCCUGGGCGGAGCCAUCCUGCUUUACUCAGUUACAGGCGGGUGGCCGAAGCGACUUCACCUCCUGCUUCUUUUCACUUAACUGUGUGACACUGCUCUGGGCUCCGCGGUCUUUCCACAUUUCAGGAGCCAGUAAGAGUCCACCUGGCUUCACGUUUCUCCCGCCGUCCACCAUUCUUGUGUAAUAAAUACGUUGAUUUUAA